rnacentral:rRNA from 1 species
AUUGCCCUAGUACGGCGAGUGAAGCGGCACAGCUCAAAUUUGAAAUCUGGCUUCGGCCCGAGUUGUAAUUUGCAGAGGAAGCUUUAGGCGCGGCACCUUCUGAGUCCCCUGGAACGGGGCGCCAUAGAGGGUGAGAGCCCCGUAUAGUUGGAUGCCUAGCCUGUGUAAAGCUCCUUCGACGAGUCGAGUAGUUUGGGAAUGCUGCUCAAAAUGGGAGGUAAAUUUCUUCUAAAGCUAAAUACCGGCCAGAGACCGAUAGCGCACAAGUAGAGUGAUCGAAAGAUGAAAAGCACUUUGAAAAGAGGGUUAAAUAGCACGUGAAAUUGUUGAAAGGGAAGCGCUUGUGACCAGACUUGCGCCGGGCAGAUCAUCCGGUGUUCUCACCGGUGCACUCUGCCCGGCUCAGGCCAGCAUCGGUUCUCGCGGGGGGAUAAAGGCCCUGGGAACGUAGCUCCUCCGGGAGUGUUAUAGCCCGGGGCGUAAUGCCCUCGCGGGGACCGAGGUUCGCGCAUCUGCAAGGAUGCUGGCGUAAUGGUCAUCAGCGACCCGUCUUGAAACACGGACCAAGGAGUCAAGGUUUUGCGCGAGUGUUUGGGUGUAAAACCCGCACGCGUAAUGAAAGUGAACGUAGGUGAGAGCUUCGGCGCAUCAUCGACCGAUCCUGAUGUUUUCGGAUGGAUUUGAGUAGGAGCGUUAAGCCUUGGACCCGAAAGAUGGUGAACUAUGCUUUGGAUAGGGUGAAGCCAGAAGGAAACUCU